rnacentral:rRNA from 1 species
UACGAAGGGGGCUAGCGUUGCUCGGAAUCACUGGGCGUAAAGGGUGCGUAGGUGGCGUGGUAAGUUUGAUGUGAAAGCUCAGGGCUUAACCCUGAAAUGGCAUUGAAUACUACUGUGCUGGAGGUUUGGAGGGGGGACUGGAAUUCUUGGUGUAGCGGUGAAAUGCGCAGAUAUCAGGAGGAACACCCGUGGCGAAGGCGGCUCGCUGGACCGUUACUGACGCUGAGGAACGAAAGCUAGGGGAGCAAACAGG